rnacentral:rRNA from 1 species
AUUGAACGCUGGCGGAAUGCUUUACACAUGCAAGUCGAGCGGCAGCGCGGGGGCAACCCUGGCGGCGAGCGGCGAACGGGUGAGUAACAUAUCGGAACGUACCCUGUCGUGGGGGAUAACUAUCCGAAAGGAUAGCUAAUACCGCAUACGACCUGAGGGUGAAAGCGGGGGACCGCAAGGCCUCGCGCGAUAGGAGCGGCCGAUAUCGGAUUAGCUAGUUGGUGAGGUAAAGGCUCACCAAGGCGACGAUCCGUAGCGGGUCUGAGAGGACGACCCGCCACACUGGAACUGAGACACGGUCCAGACUCCUACGGGAGGCAGCAGUGGGGAAUUUUGGACAAUGGGGGCAACCCUGAUCCAGCCAUUCCGCGUGAGUGAAGAAGGCCUCGG